CCUGCUCCCCUUCAAAAUCAUAUUUAAGUGAGAUUAUGUCAAAUUUCAAUGAUCGGAAAUGUCUUGCCCAAAAGCCAUUCCCACUGGAAAAAGUCAAAAGGGUUCCUGGCAUUAAAACGACCUUGCGUCAGUCCUGAUGAAAUUAGCAGAGCUGCAUUUUUAGAUACUUGCAAUGGAGGUACUUUGAUCACAGUGAAAAGAAGUGAUAGAUUUUUUUUUACUCCCCCAGCUGAACUGAAGUGUUCUGCUUUUCUAGCUGAGACUCCCAAGACCAACAUUUGCUUUAGCCUUUUUUCUCCCCCCCCCCGCCCCCACUUUUCUUUCAGUGCAAGCAAUGGGAAUUGCUAACCUUGGUCAAGAAAAAUUUCAUUUCCCCCAUCCUGCUAAACGGUUCUGGUCGACAUAUGUUUGUUAUCAGAGAGAGGUGCUAUGAACACAGAGCCAUUUUCUUAGCAGCUUUUUGACUGUAUGUUACCAUAGUCCCACACGGCAUUGGUCCUUUCCCGUUGGGAAGUCAUGAAUAAGAGACUAUGAAGCUUGCACGUCAGAUCUUCCUCAAUUAAUCCACCAUUAGCAUGUUUGGGAUCCACUACUGGAUGGUUAACAGCAGCUUUGGUAACUGUGUGCUGUCCAUGCCCAAUUAUGCUCUGCUAAAAAUGAACUCUGCAGACCAGCCUUCCCGAGCUGUCAGUGUCUCCCGUGUUCCUAUUUUAACGUUUGUGUGUAGUGGCAGGCGACAGAUGGUGUAGAUCAGAUCGAUUUGAUUGCAUUAGGCGAUUUUUUCUCUUCUCCCCCCGACUCCGUUUCUGGAAGCCCACAUCAGCUGAAAGGCGAUCGCCGGGGACUUGGAAAGCACCAGCAGCCGCCGAGGUGUGAAGGCAGCGGGGCACGGCCAGCCAGAGGCGCCGGGGUCCCUUCGCAGGGCUUGGUAACACAGCAGUCAGGCACCAGGAGAGAAAGCAGCUUGCCGCUGCCCACAGCCUCUUCCCCAGCGCGCAUCAGAUGACUCCCUGGUUUUCCACCCAGCUGGAGUCCUGCUUGAAACCUUGGAUUGAAAGGGUAAGCGCUUCUCUAGAGGUGGAUUUGUGUCAGUUUGCUUGGGGAGGUGGCGAGCGGCGAGAUCGCAGCGAGGCAGUCUUUGAACAGGAAUAAAUAUUUCCUAUCCCCCCUCCACCACCAUCACCACCCCCAUGCGAACCCCUCAAUCCGAGCAAGAUUCCUAACGGAGGGAUCUCCUGUCUCCCCACUCGCCGACCAUAUCAGUCCCUCCCUCCCCCCUGAAUCUGGCAACCGCGGGCAGCUCCCGAGCUCCGCGCCCCGUGGCUUAAUUGUUUCGAUGCUCUCCGUUCCCUCCCCCCGCAGCCCCGCAGCACCGCCAGGCCGGGGAGAGGGACCUGCCUUUGUACAUUUGUACAUCGCGAGGGGCAGUUUCCCGAGGCACUGAUCGCUGGGGGGAGGGUCCAGCACCCUCCGUGAUUACGGCUGGGAAGAGAGGAAGGUAGAGCCUCACAAACAUGGCUUGCGAGAAUCGAUGAACAAAGGUACUUAAUGCUGAGGCGAGCCUGGCUCAGGGCAGCCGCCGCGCUCAGAGGCGAAGGUGAAUCUGUUGCUUGCCAGCGCCAGCCCUUCCCAGCGCCCGGAGCGGAGGGCUGGGGAGAAGAGGACGCCAGACAGGCACAGAGGAAGAGAGCAGGGACUCCCCAGGACUGGAGAUCGGGCAGCCCUUGGACAUGGGGACGGGAUCCCUCGGUCACCCUGUGGAUGCUCCGCCUGCUCUAGGGGAAAUACAGUUAUGGAUUUACUGGCCCGGUGCAGCACUCCAGCGGCAGCGGCAGCAGCAGCUUUCUGACUCUCUUCGGUGACGGGUAUUCUUGGGUGGAUAAUACGGAUUACGUUGUUAUUGCUUAAGAAUACGCGUAGUCGAGGAGAGUACCGCGGCGGGCAGGCAGCGCCACCGCCCCAGCCCCAGCCCCAGCCCGGCAGCUGGCGCCUCAACUGCUAGAGUGGCCAAGGUAGCUCCUUUUUGCUCUUUUCCUACAUGCUUCGCUCUGUCUGUGUCUGUGCCCAGGGGACCCCGGCGAGGGGUGGGCGCCGGCAGCAGGGGGGCUCCAGGCGUCCCCCUCCCCCC